UGGGAGCUGGUGGAGGGCAUGAUGAGGGUGUUAGAGUUGUGAAUCUAACUACUUGGAUUUUAUCUGAUAGGCCACAGAACAUAGGUAGGGUUGUGAAAAGUAAUAGAUUAUUUAUUUAUUUAUUUAUUUAAUGGGGCCUUUGAAUCGAAGAGCAGAGAACAUGGCCCAUUUGUUGAAGGUAAGGAUUAUUCUAUUCUCUAUUGGGUGAUCUGCCUCUCCUCCCCACCUUCAUGCCUCCACUCUCCACCUUCUGCCUCUCCUCCCCAUCUUCCUUUAUUUUUUUCACUCCCACAACCUUUCACAUGGACUGAUGGGUAAUUUUCAGUACUCCUACUUUCAGAGUAAGAAGAGAAACUUCAAGUUCUUUUCAUCUAUACUAAAAUAACUGAGAUAAAAAAUUAUGCACUGCAAUUGAUAAAUAGAGAAAAUAUUUGUAAUUGAAAUGAUGACUACAUUAAAAUCCAAUAAGAUCAUAUAUGAAUCCAUGGCAAACACUCUGUUAUGCCAAAUGGAAGAAAAUAUAAGAAAGAACAAUAUUCCAAUCAGGAAUGAACCAAAAAUGUCAAAUAUAACAGCAUAAUGAGACCAAGAAAUCACUUAUAAGAAAAACAACCUUAAAUAUAAAGGGCCCAAGAUAAGAAAAUAAAAAAAGUCAUCCAUGAAAGGGAAAACCUGUCGGGAUUAAAGAACUGCAACAGCAAAAUCUUGGCAAGCCUCAAGAGACCUCAUCCAUGAAGUCCUUUUAGCAUCUGAACGAGUUGUGGGUUGAAUAAGGCUGAAGCUUGCUGCAAUUCAGCUGCGCACUCGUCGUUUCUACUCCUCAUGGCACGUUCUGCUGGUACACAUCCCAUUCGUCUAGUGCCCGUCGGAUUCUCUUGUUGUUGCAUGUCGGAUUCCUCGCGGUGAGUUUCGAUGGAGUUGACAAUUGAGUUCUACAUGAUGACCAAAAAACGUUUGGGUCGAGCCAUCCUCGCCACCUCUUCACGGAUGAUUUGUUGCAUAUUGAAACUGCUAUGGUGUUCAGUUUGAAGGAAAGAAGAAGACGACAUCAUAGUGAGGCUGGGUGCUGCUAAUCAAAAUGUGCAUGUGCGGAGGGAUAAGGAGGGAGAAUUAGUGGAUGGGAAGCAUGGGUGGCUAUUCAUUAUGAUAGAUGGUUUUGGGCAGCCCAAAGCAUGGGCUGUGUCAGAAGAAAGACAUUUGAUGUCUGAUGAAGGUGGUAGAGAUAGGUUUUUUUGAUUGCCUAAAGAAUAGGGUGUUGCAGGGUAUGGCAU
rnacentral:lncRNA from 1 species